AAGGUUAACCUGCCCACUGAAUUAUUAAAUGGCCGCAGUAAUUUGACUGUGCAAAGGUAGCAUAAUCAUUAGUUUUUUAAUUAAAAGCUUGUAUGAAUGGUUGGACGAAAUAAGAACUGUCUUUAGAUAAUAAAUAGAAUUUAAUUUUUAAGUUAAAAAGCUUAAAUAGUUAUAAAAGACGAGAAGACCCUAUAGAUCUUUAUAAUAUUUUAUAUGUAUUUAAUUAAGAUUAUUUUAUUAUUUAUAUAAAAUAUUAUUUUAUUGGGGUAAUAAAAAGAUUAAAUUAAUUCUUUAUGAUUUAUAUAUAGAUUAAUAAAUUUUUGAUCCUCUAUUAGAGAUUUAAGAUUAAGUUACCUUAGGGAUAACAGCGUAAUUUUUUUGAAGAGUUCAUAUCGAUAAAAAAGUUUGCGACCUCGAUGUUGGAUUAAAAAUUAUUCCAGGUGUAGAAGUUUGGAAUUUUGGUCUGUUCGACCAUUGAAUUUUUACAUGAUCUGAGUUCAGACCGGUGUAAGCCAGGUCGGUUUCUAUCUUUAUUAAAUUAAUAUAUUUUAGUACGAAAGGACCAAAUAUAUAGUAUAUUAAAUAUUUUUAUUUUUGAAUUAUA
rnacentral:rRNA from 1 species